UCCCUGGAUAGAGGAGGACCGGUCUUCGGUCAAGGUUAUACGAGUAGCUGCGCUCCCCUGCUAGAACCUCCAAACAAGCUCUCAAGGUCCAAUUUUUUAUUUUAUUGAUUUUUGU
rnacentral:sRNA from 1 species